CCUACGGGAGGCAGCAGUAAGGAAUAUUGCGCAAUGGGCGAAAGCCUGACGCAGCGACGCCGCGUGGGGGAUGAAGGUCUUCGGAUUGUAAACCCCUUUCGGGAGGGAAGAUGGAAUGAGCAAUCAUUCGGACGGUACCUCCAGAAGCAGCCACGGCUAACUUCGUGCCAGCAGCCGCGGUAAUACGAAGGUGGCAAGCGUUGUUCGGAUUUACUGGGCGUACAGGGAGCGUAGGCGGUUUAGUAAGCCCUUUGUGAAAUCUCCAGGCUUAACCUGGAACAGUCGGAGGGGACUGCUAAGCUAGAGUACGGGAGAGGAGCGCGGAAUUCCCGGUGUAGCGGUGAAAUGCGUAGAGAUCGGGAGGAAGGCCGGUGGCGAAGGCGGCGCUCUGGAACGUUUCUGACGCUGAGGCUCGAAAGCGUGGGGAGCAAACAGGAUUAGAUACCCUGGUAGUCCACGCCUUAAACUAUGAAUACUAAGUGUCGGCGGUUUACCGCCGGUGCCGCAGCUACGCAUAGUAUCGUCCUGGAGUACGGCCGCGAGUAGAACGUACGAAGAAGUAGACGGCGUGUAGACGUUGCGACGGACGACGACGAGGGAGGAGG
rnacentral:rRNA from 1 species